ACGGGAGGCAGCAGUAGGGAAUAUUGCACAAUGGGGGAAACCCUGAUGCAGCAACGCCACGUGUGGGAAGACGCAUUUCGGUGUGUAAACCACUGUCGUGAGGGAAUAAGGACGCUUCUCGGAGCGUUUGAAUGUACCUCGAAAGGAAGCACCGGCAAACUUCGUGCCAGCAGCCGCGGUAAUACGAGGGGUGCAAGCGUUGUUCGGAAUCACUGGGCGUAAAGGGAGCGCAGGCGGAAGUGCAAGCGGUCUGUACAAUACCGGGGCCCAACCCCGGACCUGCAGACCGGACUGCAUUUCUUGGAUAGUUCAGGGGCAAGCGGAAUUCCUGGUGUAGCGGUGGAAUGCGUAGAGAUCAGGAAGAACACCGAUGGCGAAGGCAGCCAGCUGGGGACUCAUCGACGCUGAGGCUCGAAAGUGCGGGUAGCAAACAGGAUUAGAUACCCUGGUA
rnacentral:rRNA from 1 species